rnacentral:pre_miRNA from 1 species
AGUGGAAUUCCUGAGACAUAUGGUCAUUCUAUGUUUAACUUUUUGGGAAACUGCCAAGCUGUUUUCCAUAGCAGCUGUUCCAUUUUACAUUCCCACCAGUAAU